AUGAAAUCUGUUACUAUUUACAAAGAUGUUUUCCUGAUGAUAAAAAAAAAGUUUCCUAAAAUUAUUCUGAAGAUAAUAAUAAUAGAAAUAAUAACUUUGGGCAUUGGUAAAAGUAAAAUAAUAAAAAAAAAAAAUUAUGAUCCCGUUGCAAAGACUGAAUCUCCACGCGCCCCUACAGGACAAUGCACGAGCAACGCCUAGGCAAUGCUCUGUGUCAAUAUGAUCCAGAUUAGGAGCCAAUUUGGGAGACUUUCGGUUUUAAGCUUCAUCGUUAACUGUGAAAGAGAAGGAUGGUUACUACUACUACUACUACUACUACU